CAAUCGUCGGGGUUUCUUUCUCCUUUUUAAUUUUUCGUCUCUGUCACGCAUUAGGAUGACGGUCAUGAUCGCCAUCUACUUCUAGGGUUUGAUUUUACACGGCAGAUCCGUAUCCAGAAUCGACCUCGACGAUCGAGAGAGAUCGCUGACGCGGUAGUCGGCAAUGGCGGAAUUGGACUCCGAGUUCCAGCGCGGUUUGGAGGAGCUCGUCCGCGGCCACCUCGACGGAUGCAUAACUGGCCCCGGCCUUGCCUCUUCUUCUUCCUCCUCCUCCUGCGCCGGAGGCGAAGAUGAGCAGCUCGCUCGCCGGCGCCGCCGUUCCCACCUUGAGGGGGAUGAGCUCGCCGAGUCGUCCGCAGCGGCGCGGCGGCAGUCCCGGAUCCUCAGCCGCUGGGCCGCCCGUCAGGCCGAGGAGAUGAUCACCAACAUCGAGCGGAGGAACCGGGAGACUGAGCUGAUGGCGCUUGCCGGCCUCCACACCGUCUCCAUGCUCGAUUCCUCCUUCCUCCGCGAGCCGGGGCGGUCCCCUUCCUCUUCUCUGGUGGAACGUCCGGCGGCUGCCCGAGCGUCGUCCAUCCUUCAGAUGCGGCGGGAGCUGGAGCACUUGACUGCCGCCGCCAGGGGGCGAAGGGGGAGUGCGACGGAGUCGUUGGACGGAGACAGGAGCCACGCCGAGGGUAGGGGUCUUGGGGGAAGCUCAGUGGCCGCGAGCGAGACUGAUUAUAAUAGCUACGACCAGUGGUCUCGUGCGGAUUUGGAUUUAUUGCGACGGCCAGGUGAGGAGGACGACCGGAGGUCAAGCAGGGAGCAAUCGCCUGAUCUCGGGGAAGGUGAGAGAGAGAGGGUGAGGCAGAUCGUUCGAGGAUGGGUAACGGAAAGUGUCAUUACAGAGACAGAACCAAGAAUUUCACCGAGGAAUGAAGUCCAGAGGGCAGAGUGGCUUGGGGAGAUUGAAAGAGAAAGGGUGAGGUUGGUAAGGGAAUGGGUGCAGAUGGCUAGCCAACAGCAGAGAGACGCUCGGGCUAGCAGGAGAGGGAGGGAGAUGGACCGAGAUGAAUUAGUCACAGAUACUGAGGAUGGUCAGCCGGAGCAUGUCCAGAGAGAGUUGCUGAGGCUGCGAGGGAGGCAAGCUCGCCUUGAGUUGAUCAUGAGGAUGGUGACAGAGAGGCAGAGUGAGCUUCAAAGCUUGUCGGAGCAUCAUGCAGUUUCAGAGUUUGCUCAUCGCAAUCGCAUUCAAUCACUUCUUAGGGGUAGAUUCUUGAGAAAUGGUAGACCAACUGAGGAGGAUGAAGAAAGACCUCCUUCAGCAGCAGCCAGGGAAAUAGGCCAGCUCAGACAACGGCACCGUGUAUCUGGUCUUCGGGAGGGUUUUCGAUUCAGAUUAGAGAAUAUUGUUCGUGGUCAAGCAAACAGCCAUAAUGACACAUUUGCUAAUCCAAGCUCUACUACUGUACAAACUAAUCAUUCCCAGGAAAGUCAAGGUCCAGAGAUAUCUAAUGAUAAUCAAGAUCAGAACCAAUCUAUGAUUGUGGAAACAAGUGUUGAUCAAGUGUCUGGGACACAUUCAACAACUGAAUUAGAGACUAUCGUUGUCAAUGAUAAUAUCAAUUUCAAUGAAUCGGCUUCUCAGUUGGAUAUAUUGCAGGAGGAAACAAUGCUAGAGAGAAGAGUUUGGGAGCCAGUUAGUGAAGUUGGUUUGAGUCAGUGGCAUACAGAGGAUGGAGGAGACUUUGAUGAAAACUGGCAGGAAAAUUUAGUUCAGGACUGGGUAGAUGAAACACCUGAGAAUGGAGAUGAAGGGGACAAUCAUCUCCCAGAGGCUCAAGAGGGAUGGCAUGAAGAUGAAUCCCAUGUUACUGAAGGAACCUGGCAGGAUGAACACUCUGAUGUAUUGAAUGAUUCUAGGGCAAGCCCUAGUAGAAGAGUUGAUAGAUUUAUCCCACCCGAUGAUGAAAAUGUAUAUAGCAUGGAACUCAGGGAACUUCUAAGCAGGAGAAGUGUUUCUAACCUUCUUCACAGUGGUUUUCGUGAAAGCCUAGACCAAUUAAUACAGUCCUAUAUUGAACGGCAAGGAAGAUCUCCCAUUGAUUGGGAUCUCCAAAGACCUUUGCCUACUCCUAAUUCGCCAGAUGAAGAUCAGGAAAAUCAGGUCGAUGGUCUUACCCAGAAUGUUCAAAACGCUGCACCCAGACAUCCAACUAUGUUUCCACCUCCUCCUUUGCCACCUCGACAACCAAUAUGGCAUUCAACCCUACAUCAUAACAAUUGGUCCAGAAGAAACAUGCACAGAUCAGAAAUUGUGCGAACCUUUUGCCAUCACAGGAGUGGGAUGUUAUUAAUGAUUUGAGGGCUGAUAUGGCUAGGCUACAACAAGGGAUGAGUAAUAUGCAAAGAAUGUUGGAGGCUUGCAUGGAUAUGCAACUAGAGUUGCAGCGGUCUGUUAGGCAGGAAGUUUCUGCAGCUUUGAAUCGUUCAGUUGGAGGACCAGGCUUGUAUGAGGUGUCGGCUGAUGAUGGAUCCAAAUGGAGUCAAGUGAGGAAGGGUACCUGCUGCAUCUGCUGCGAUAGUCAUAUAGACUCCCUUCUUUAUAGAUGUGGGCACAUGUGCACAUGUUCAAAAUGUGCCAAUGAGUUGGUUCGGACAGGAGGCAAGUGUCCACUGUGUCGUGCACCGAUCAUCGAGGUCAUCCGAGCCUAUUCUAUACAAUAAACAGCAGCAUUACUUAAACGUUCAAGUUAAAUAUUGCGACUGUCAACUGCCCAAGGUGUAUGUCUGUUGGACGUCCAUGUCAUUUUGUUCCUCUCCCUCUUGAGGUCCUUGGAACAGGAAGAUGUUUCACCUGACAAUGUUCCAUGCUGCAUUACUAUCAUUAUUUGUUGUAUCUAGAUUUCAUCUAGAUAUAUAUAGAAUGCUGAAUCCAUGUUUUCCUUUUGCUGGUACUAUGAUUGUUAAUUUAAUGCAAGACUCGAUCAGAACAUCCAUGUAUCCUAUCCUAGGGUGUGAAAGUGUAGCUGAAAUGUGUAUAUCAUUAUUUAUUAUUUUUAUUUAAUCCAAGUUCAAUAUGUUAUAAA